rnacentral:lncRNA from 1 species
ACUCUCUUAGUAGCUUGGUUGCUUGUAAAUUCUUAUUAGGCUGCUCAAUCCAUUCUAAAAAUAGUUUCUUAGUAACACAAUCAGUGUCAUCUAAGAAAUAUUCAUCUUUUAAUGCACGCAAAAAAAUCUGCCAUGAAUUUCCAUAAUGAUCCAUAAUCAAUGUAAUAUGUUCUUUUAUCUCCGGUAUCAUGGCAAGUCCAAAAAAUUCAACCAUCUUCUUCUCAGAAACCCGAUUUAAUUCCAUUUCUUGACCAUAACAUCUUAAAUACCUUGAAAUAUCCCUUCCAUCAAAUUGAUCAAUUUUAUUGACCACUGCUUACAAUGCUUUAGUUGCUAAAGCUUCCUUGCGAUCAUUGCUUUGCUGUUGCUACAUAGAUAAUGAUAAGGCU